rnacentral:lncRNA from 1 species
CACAUUAAUACCUGAGCAGAGACUGAAGGCAAAUAUUCAUCUAUUAAACCUACACCAUAAUGCUCAAACACAGGUAAAAACAUUCACAACACACUCUACAGAAUAUAGUAAGUAGUACUUUUUGUGAAUUACAAUCACAUAAAUGUAAUAAUUUUAAUUAUACCAUAUAAAAAUACACACAAAAUUACACAUAAAUGUAUUUAAUAUACUAUACAUUGUACAAAGUACUGGAGAUCAUGCAUGUUUAAAUGGAAAGAUCAGCAAGGUGACAAUCAUUUUUUAUUAUAUACUACAGGACAGGUUCCUCUGCACUUGUUAAGUGUUGUUGUUAUGCACUGUACUUUCUGGAUGGAUGAGAAAAAAAUAAUCAAUUUGCAAACAAAUGAUUACUGAGUCUAUCUCAGCAUAACACAUAGGUUGUCCUCUAUAAAUUUUUUAACUAUAGUAUAAAAAUUGAUGCAGGUUGAGAGCCAUUUAUUUUAUUACAUACCCUUGCUCAAACUACCUUCAUGUCAAUAAGAUCAUGUUUUAAGGAAAGACAUUUUCUUUGUAUGUGUUUUUAGAGAAAUCUAUAUUUUUGUCUGGCGAGUAGGUAGUGGAGGUAAAAUGGGAAAACAAUGUGUUGAGUUUACUUUCAAAAUUGAAAUUGAAAAAUAUACAACAACUGUGAGUACACAGAAAUGUGGGCAUCUUUUAUCAGAGACCAUGAUUAUCCUGUGAAUAAAAUAAUUUGGACCUUAAUAUAAAUUAUAUCCAUUAUUUUAAAUAAGCACAGUAAAAAUGCAAGUCUACAUUUUUUUAAAAACUGAAGCCCGUUUUCUCUUGAAGCCUUAAAAAUAUAUAGGAAGAAAAAAGAGAAGGAAAAAUGAGAGGAAAUAAUGUUUUAAAAUAUACUACAUGAAUGAGUUUAUUAAUUAUUAAAAAUAAUUAUUGUGUAAAUUAACCUUAUUUGAUAUAUAUAAGCCUCAAUAAGUUCAGAAAGAAUGAGCACAAGUCAAAGAAUUCAUGUCUUUGACAGAUUACUCAUUAAUAAGACAAAAAAUUACAUUUGAAGAUUAGUUUUUCCAAGUGUGGUAAGUUCAGAACAAUGCUACCACCUUCUCCUAGAAUAUUUUUUCAGAAACCUAAGCCAAACCUAAUUUUCUACAUCUAUGUAGCGUAAGUCUACUUUAAUUCAAAAUGAGAACUCUGAAAAUUAAGGGAGGCCUCUACAGCAAUAGUUCUGGAAAUACUAAAGGAAAUACCAGUCAACUUUUAUUUUAAACUUUUAUUUCACCAACCUCGAAGACAAGGAUUUGGGGCCAAUUUGAGAGGACCACCCAUAAUAAAAUGUACAGUUAUAAAAUUGCAGGGCACUCUUUAUCAUUUCAAGGCACACUCUGUUUUAUCCCAAAUGACUAUAAGUUCAAGGUCACAGUGAUGAUAUAUAUUUGAUUAUAUAGAAAGCAUGAUUAUGUUAAAUACAGGCAUCUCCUACUUAGAAUACAAUUAUUCAACACAAAAGAUGAACUCAUUUCAAAGAACAAUGUAAACUGAACUUAGGCCUUGUACACUAUCUUUUUACUAAUAACACCUAUGGUCCCCAUUAGAAUAAACUGUCACUAAAUCAAGGCCAGAGAUUUCGAUAUUUGGCUUUCUGUCCUGCCUCCUUACUUCCAAGGCUAUUUAUGCAAACUGCAUCAACAUUACUGGGCAGAGAAAUACUUAGUAAUAUUAAAUUAUGGGGAAAACUAUAAUAUGAGGAACUGAAAUUUCCUUAGAAUCUUUAUGGGGAGAAAUUGAAGCACUUAAUGCUGAUAAAAAAUAAUUUCUAAGCCUAUCACAUUUUCUACUUUUCUUCCAUGAGAACAACAUAUUAAUGUUAACACUUUAGUAUUAAUAUCUUGUUUUAUAAUAUUUUCCUUUAAGAUACGCAUAUUAAAAG